CGAUAGCGUAUAUUAAAGUUGUUGCGGUUAAAAAGCUCGUAGUUGGAUUUCUGCUGAGAACGACCGGUCCGCCCUUUGGGUGUGUAUCUGGCUCUUUCUUGGCAUCUUCUUGGUGAACGUUGCUGCACUUGACUGUGUGGAGCGCUACCCAGGACUUUUACUUUGAGGAAAUUAGAGUGUUUCAAGCAGGCAUACGCCUUGAAUACAUUAGCAUGGAAUAAUAAGAUAGGACCUCGGUUCUAUUUUGUUGGUUUCUAGAGCUGAGGUAAUGAUUAAUAGGGAUAGUUGGGGGCAUUCGUAUUUAACUGUCAGAGGUGAAAUUCUUGGAUUUGUUAAAGACGGACUACUGCGAANGNAUUUGCNAAGGAUGUUUNCAUUG
rnacentral:rRNA from 1 species